UAGGGAAUCUUCGGCAAUGGACGAAAGUCUGACCGAGCAACGCCGCGUGAGUGAAGAAGGUUUUCGGAUCGUAAAACUCUGUUGGUAGAGAAGAACGUUGGUGAGAGUGGAAAGCUCAUCAAGUGACGGUAACUACCCAGAAAGGGACGGCUAACUACGUGCCACCAG
rnacentral:rRNA from 1 species